AGGGCAGCUACCCAGCGAUGGGGUGCGAAUCUCGAAAGCCUAUCUCAGUUCGGAUUGGAGGCUGAAACCCGCCUCCAUGAAGUUGGAUUCGCUAGUAAUCGCGCAUCAGCCAUGGCGCGGUGAAUACGUUCCCGGGCCUUGUACACACCGCCCGUCAAGCCAUGGGAGCUGGGGGUGCCUGAAGUUCGUGACCGCAAGGAUCGACCUAGGGCAAAACCGGUGACUGGGGCUAAGUCGUAACAAGGUACC
rnacentral:rRNA from 1 species